AAUAUAAAGAUGUAGUAAAGGUUCACGGGGUCUUUCCGUCUAACUAUAGAUAAUCCGCAUCUUCACGGAUAAUUCAAAUUCACUGAGUCUAUAUUGGAGACAGCGGGGAUGUCGUUACACCAUUCAUGCAGGUCGGAACUUACCCGACAAGGAAUUUCGCUACCUUAGGACCGUCAGAGUUACAAGGCAAUUAUCUGGGUAUAUACUGACACUGAGAAACGAAAGCUUGGGUAGCGAACGGUAUUAGAUACCCCGGUAGUCCAUGCCGUAAACGAUGAGUGCUAAUAUUUAGAAAUUUUUAGAUAUAACAGCUAACGCGUUAAGCACUCCGCCUGAAAAGUAUAAUCGCAAGAUUGAAAUUCAAAGGAAUUGACGGGAGUCUACACAAGGGACAUUUUCAAGACCAUGGAAUCACUGAAGCCACGACGAUUGUACAACCAGGCUCGCAUGCUGU
rnacentral:ncRNA from 1 species